GAAUAUUACUGAGCAACAGACGUGACAGGCUGAAACAUAAACACAGCCUUCGCCUCGAGUACGGGAUAAAUAAACCGUCUAAUUUAUACACUAAAUUUUAACUAAAAUGACAAGCUUUUUGUUAACACUAGUACGACAUGCGACACCUGAUUCUAAAAGACGAAUUCCAAAGACAAUCGAUAAUAAGGACAACAGGUUAUCACGAAAGGGUUACUGUCAAGCAGACCUGCUCGGCCAAAGAUUAAAGUGUGAAAAAUUCACUCACAUUUAUUGUAGUGAUAUCACUAAGGCAAAAGAGACUGCAAUGGCAAUUACCAACCACAAUAGAUCAUGUUCAUCCCUGCCCAUACAUGAAGAUCCACGAUUAGAAGAACUGAUUGACCAUGUGUAAUGUCACUGGCCAGAUACUGUACAUGUGGUCGCUGCAAUUUGAAUGUACCCUUUGGGUACACCAAAGAGAUUACUCAAUGAACAGCAGGGAAUAGAAAGUAUAAACAGUUCUUUUUUAAAUAAACUUGAAACUUUAGAGGAUAUCCGCCAUA
rnacentral:misc_RNA from 1 species